CAAGGCUUGACAUACACCGGAAACGGCCAGAGAUGGUNGCCCCCUUGUGGUUGGUGUACAGGUGGUGCAUGGCUGUCGUCAGCUCGUGUCGUGAGAUGUUGGGUUAAGUCCUGCAACGAGCGCAACCCUUGUUCUGUGUUGCCAGCAUGCCCUUCGGGGUGAUGGGGACUCACAGGAGACCGCCGGGGUCAACUCGGAGGAAGGUGGGGACGACGUCAAGUCAUCAUGCCCCUUAUGUCUUGGGCUGCACACGUGCUACAAUGGCCGAUACAAUGAGCUGCGAUACCGUGAGGUGGAGCGAAUCUCAAAAAGUCGGUCU
rnacentral:rRNA from 1 species